AGAUCCGAAACAAAUACUUUCAAUGGUUAGAAGUUUCAAAUGCCAUAUCCUAGAAAAUAAAGAUACUCUACCUUCAUAAUGUUAUAUGCAAUGUUGAAAUAAGGUUGGGUUGAAAAGAUGUAAAAUUCUUAUUUGAAGAAUUUGAAUCUAGUUCGAGGAGUGUGAACUUCAAUUAUUCGUCUGUUUAUGUUAAGUUUAUCGAACAAAAAUUUGUGAACUAAAUUGAACUAAGUAGGUGAACUAAGUUCACUAGUUCAGCAAAGUGAACUAGUUCAUUGAACUAGUUCGUUCGCGAACUACACAAGCCUACUGCAUACCUAGUUCAAAAAAUGCAAUUUGGCGUAUACGGCACUCCAAUACUAGGGCGACGAUGUAUCAUAUUUGUAUAUAAUACCAUUUUCUAUUAUUGCUAGUUUUGAAAAUCUCCUUUCGCGCUUUGACCUUGAAAAUCGCGACUUGCGGACAUUAGAUUUUUCUAGACUUUUGAGCAUUCAUUCCGAGGUGAAACCUUUAUUUAACUGGAUUAAGUAGUCUAUAGCGGUUUUGAGGUACUCGAAUCAGGGGUGAGAUUCUGUAUGGCGAAAACGAACAAACGUUUUCGUGUGUGCGAAAGGUUUGAUUCAUACAACUUGAAAAACGAAAGAAUUUGUUCUGUAUCUGUCACAAAUUUUCUUCCGUUUUUCAAAAACGAACGAUCGUUUUCGAUUUUUAUAGAAUGUACCCCCAGUACCAGUUUCGCCUACGAAGGAGGAAAAGGCAAACUCGUGGUUUUAACGCCUAGUCACCACUUCAAAACCUUUAUUUUAUAAUAUCACUUAUUUUUCACAAAAAAAAAAUUGAACAACAAAGAUUGAAAAUAUGAAAUAAUUAUAUAAAUAUGUAAAUUAAGAAAAAAUCAAUAUCAUGCCAAAAAAAAUUUACAUACUUUUAGUUCAAAUUUACAUUUUUUUAUGUAUUGGCCAAAAGCGAGGUUUUGUCACUCUUACAGAGCUACUCCAGCGCUACUUGGCUCCGAACACGUAGAUAUCUGGAGUCGUGGGCUGUUAUGUGGAUUAAUCACCAGCUUUGUCGUAAUUCAGCACCACUAUCUUUAUAUUGAACUUCAAUUUCCACUCUAGGGUAUUUGGAGGUCGUAAGGGUGGUGUGCCUUAUUGGAGGUUGAAACAGAACUUCAAAUGGUUCUUAUGUCAUAGGAUACCUAACCCAUGACCUGUAAUACCUUAUGGACCACGAAACGAAACAAGCCGGUUGAAGGUUAACCACAGAAUCAUUAAUUUAAAGAGAAUUAAGUAAUGCAAGAUAUAAAGUAUAGAACAGUGUUUAUAGAUGUAAAUAGAUUAAUAAUAGGUGUGUUUUUUAUUACAACCGGUCUUAACUGGACAAAAAAACGCAGUCUGGGCUAAGCAAUUUACAUGUUAAAUACAACAACACCUUAGCCCCUUGGGCUAAGUUGUUUAGCCCGGAGAUUUCUCUGGGCUUAACUUUUUGAACAGUUUUAAAUCUGUGCUACCAGACUAAUUUUUUCAUAAAUUGUUUAGAAUUUGUUUAAAAACGUGAAAACUCACGUUUGGAAGGACAAAAUGUAUUAAAAUAGUUUUGCUAGCAUACAUUUUUGUAUCUCUUUGUAAAAUAUACAUGAAAAAUACAAGAAAAUGACGAAAGCGAAUAAUAUGACAACUUUAAAUUUUUGUUGUGUCGGCUGUUUUCGGAACAUUAAAUAUACAGUGCUGCCAAGAUUUCAGGUUAAGCCCCGAGGCGUUUUUUUUGUCCAGUUAAGACCGGUGGUAAUAAAAAACACACCUAAUAAUAAUAAAAUAAUAAUAAUAAU